CUAACACAUGCAAGUCGAACGGCAGCACAGUAAGAGCUUGCUCUUAUGGGUGGCGAGUGGCGGACGGGUGAGGAAUACAUCGGAAUCUACCUUUUCGUGGGGGAUAACGUAGGGAAACUUACGCUAAUACCGCAUACGACCUUCGGGUGAAAGCAGGGGACCUUCGGGCCUUGCGCGGAUAGAUGAGCCGAUGUCGGAUUAGCUAGUUGGCGGGGUAAAGGCCCACCAAGGCGACGAUCCGUAUCUGGUCUGAAAGGAUGAUCAGCCACACUGGAACUGAAACACGGUCCAGACUCCUACGGGAGGCAGCAGUGGGGAAUAUUGGACAAUGGGCGCAAGCCUGAUCCAGCCAUACCGCGUGGGUGAAAAAGGCCUUCGGGUUGUAAAGCCCUUUUGUUGGGAAAGAAAAGCAUUCAAUUAAUACUCGGUUGUUCUGACGGUACCCAAAGAAUAAGCACCGGCUAACUUCGUGCCAGCAGCCGCGGUAAUACGAAGGGUGCAAGCGUUACUCGGAAUUACUGGGCGUAAAGCGUGCGUAGGUGGUUGUUUAAUUCUGUUGUGAAACCCCUGGGCUCAACCUGGGAAUUGCAGUGGAUACUGGGCGACUAGAGUGUGGUAAAGGGUAGUGUAAUUCCCGGUGUAGCAGUGAAAUGCGUAGAGAUCGGGGAGGGAACAUCCAUGGGCGAAGGCAGCUACCUGGGACCAACACUGACACUGAGGCACGAAAGCGUGAGGAGCAAACAGGAUUUAAUUCCCCUUGGUAAUCCACCCCCCUAAACAAUGCGAACUGGAUGUUGGGUGCCAUUUUGGAACGCAUAUCAAAGCCUAACGCUUUAAUUUCGCCCCCUGGAGAGUACGGUCACAAGACUGAAACUCGAAGGAAUUGGACGGGGGGCCCCGCACAAGUGGUUGGGAGUAUGUGUGGUUUUAUCUCAUGCAACCCUAAAAAACCUUUACC
rnacentral:rRNA from 1 species